CGGGGUGCACCAGGCGCGAAAACUCUACAAUGCAGGCAACUGCGAUAGGGGAACAUCGAGUGGCACCCACUAUGGGUGUCUGUCCAACCGUGUAAAAAACGGUUGUUAGCAAGGGCCGGGUAAGACCGGUGCCAGCCGCCGCGGUAAUACCGGCGGCUCGAGUGGUGGCCGAUAUUAUUGAGUCUAAAGGGUCCGGAGCUGGCUUUGCAAGUCCCCCGGGAAAUCUAGCGGCUUAACCGUUGGGCUUUCAUGGGAUACUACAAGGCUUGGGACCGGGAGAGGUAGGAGGUACUCAGGGGGUAGGGGUGAAAUCCUGUAAUCCUCUGGGGACCACCGGUGGCGAAGGCGUCCUACCAGAACAGGUUCGACAGUGAGGGACGAAAGCUAGGGGCACGAACCGGAUUAGAUACCCGGGUAGUCCUAGCCGUAAACGAUGCUCGCUAGGUGUCACGGCAGUCGUGAAUGGUCGUGGUGCCGUAGGGAAGCCGUGAAGCGAGCCACUUGGGAAGUACGACCGCAAGGUUGAACAUAAAGGAAUCGGCGGGGGAG
rnacentral:rRNA from 1 species